CAACUUUAAACAUGAUAGCCACGUAUAAUCAUAGGAAUAUGGCCUAUAAGUCUCUACCGGGUUACCGUAAAUAGCCUGACUACGCGGAUGAUACAAUAAGAC
rnacentral:ncRNA from 2 species